rnacentral:rRNA from 1 species
AUUGAACGCUGGCGGCAGGCCUAACACAUGCAAGUCGAGCGGAUGACGGGAGCUUGCUCCUUGAUUCAGCGGCGGACGGGUGAGUAAUGCCUAGGAAUCUGCCUGGUAGUGGGGGACAACGUUUCGAAAGGAACGCUAAUACCGCAUACGUCCUACGGGAGAAAGCAGGGGACCUUCGGGCCUUGCGCUAUCAGAUGAGCCUAGGUCGGAUUAGUUAGUUGGUGGGGUAAUGGCUCACCAAGGCGACGAUCCGUAACUGGUCUGAGAGGAUGAUCAGUCACACUGGAACUGAGACACGGUCCAGACUCCUACGGGAGGCAGCAGUGGGGAAUAUUGGACAAUGGGCGAAAGCCUGAUCCAGCCAUGCCGCGUGUGUGAAGAAGGUCUUCGGAUUGUAAAGCACUUUAAGUUGGGAGGAAGGGCAGUAAGCUAAUACCUUGCUGUUUUGACGUUACCGACAGAAUAAGCACCGGCUAACUUCGUGCCAGCCGCCGCGGUAAAAC